CUGACCCCAAAUCUUUGGAGAUCAUUAUCCUCCUGUACGAUACGACAACACGUGUUGUGGUGAGGAACAACCGACAAAACCUGUUCAACUACAUCUUUGCCAGGCCCCUGCCGCGCUUCGAAGGCAGCUACUACCUGGCCGGAGUCCCAGAGGACAAGAUGCCUGAGAACCUGAAGGCCCUGUUCCUCGUCAGGGAUCUCUUAAAGGCUGUUUCAGGAAUCAGGCC